UUCUCUAACAUAAUGGUUAGAGAGUCGGACUUAUAACCCAAAGGUCAUGGGUUCGAGUCUCAGGUCCAGCAG